UACGUAGGGGGCAAGCGUUGUCCGGAAUCAUUGGGCGUAAAGCGCGUGUAGGCGGCCCGAUAAGUCCGCUGUGAAAGUCCAGGGCUCAACCCUGGGAUGCCGGUGGAUACUGCCGGGCUCGAGUCCGGAAGAGGCGAGUGGAAUUCCUGGUGUAGCGGUGAAAUGCGCAGAUAUCAGGAGGAACACCAAUGGCGAAGGCAGCUCGCUGGGACGUGACUGACGCUGAGACGCGAAAGCGUGGGGAGCAAACAGG
rnacentral:rRNA from 1 species